GCCUGGGUGGCUCAGUCGGUUGAGUGUAUGACUUCAGCUCAGGUCAUGAUUUCACAGUCCGUGGGUUCGAGCCCACAUCAGGCU
rnacentral:tRNA from 1 species